rnacentral:rRNA from 1 species
AACGUACGCUGGCGGCACGCCUAACACAUGCAAGUCGAGCGAGGUAGCAAUACCUAGCGGCAGACGGGUGCGUAACAUGUGGGAAUCUGCCUUUUGGUUCGGAACAACACGGGGAAACCUGUGCUAAUACCGGAUAAGUCCUUACGGAGAAAGUUUUAAUGCCAAAAGAUGAGCCCGCAUUUGAUUAGCUAGUUGGUGAGGUAAAAGCUCACCAAGGCGAUAAUCAAUAGCUGAUUUGAGAGGAUGAUCAGCCACACUGGGACUGAGAUACGGCCCAGACUCCUACGGGAGGCAGCAGUGGGGAAUCUUGCACAAUGGGCGAAAGCCUGAUGCAGCGAUGCCGCGUGAGUGAAGAAGGCCUUUGGGUUGUAAAGCUCUUUUGUCGGGAAAGAUAAUGACUGUACCCGAAGAAUAAGGUCCGGCUAACUUCGUGCCAGCAGCCGCGGUAAUACGAAGGGACCUAGCGUAGUUCGGAAUUACUGGCGUAAAGAGUAUGUAGGCGGCUAGAUAAGUUAAUUGUGAAAGCCCAAAGCUUAACUUUGGAAUUGCAAUUAAAACUAUUUAGCUGGAGUAUGAUAGAGGAAAGCGGAAUACAUAGUGUAGAGGUGAAAUUCGUAGAUAUUAUGUAGAACACCAGUUGCGAAGGCGGCUUUCUGGAUCAUUACUGACGCUGAGAUACGAAAGUAUGGGUAGCGAAGAGGAUUAGAUACCCUCGUAGUCCAUACCAUAAACGAUGAUUAUUAGAUGUGGGGAAUUAUUUCUCUGUAUCAUAGCUAACGCGGUAAAUAAUCCGCCUGGGGAGUACGACCGCAAGGUUAAAACUCAAAUGAAUUGACGGGGACCCGCACAAGCGGUGGAGCAUGUGGUUUAAUUCGAAGCAACGCGCAGAACCUUACCAACCCUUGACAUGUUCGUCGCGAGACUAAGAAAUUAGUCUCU